CAGGUUCUCAAUAAAUACCGCCCUCCCCACUCCCUUUUCGCUCUAAGCUAGCUCUGUUCAUCUUCUCGCCAUCGCUAGAUUCGCUACUUUUUCCAUUGUCAUUUUAUUUCGUGUAGUUUUUAUGAGUCUUUAUCAAUUAAUUUCUGCUUGAAAUUGAUUUAUUAAUGGCUCUUCCUAAAUCAAACCCUAAGAUUUCAGCGUCCAAGAAGACGAAGAGGGUCUCUGAUGCUAUGAAGCCUCAUAAAACUGCCAUGGCCAAGAGAGGCUCUACUCGGAACGAGAAGGGGAGCGAGCUCGCGAAACUUUGUGAUAUCGCCGUUUACAUGACUGCUGUUGGGGCUGACGGCAAGAUUGACUUGUGGCCGGAAAACCAACAAGAUUUGAAAUCAGUUGUGCUCAAGUACAAGAAUCUGAGGAGGGGUUUGAAAGAUCAAGUCGAAAAGGGUUCGUUCUCAGCGGAAAUUGUUGAGGAUCGAGAAAUUGGGGAUUUGGGUUUUCAAGAUAACUGCCUGGGGUCCAAGUUAGACGAUUUGAACGAGAGGAUUGUUGCUGUGAUGAGGAAGAUGAUGAAGAUGAGGGAUGAUGGUAGCUCCACUUUCAUGGAACUGUACAAGAAUAUCACGGAGAGUAGUGUGGAACCGGAUGCAGCAUAUCAACAACAACAACAAAAAUCAUCUCUUGAUUUGAAUCUUGAUCCUGUUGAUCUCAUCAUAUCCACACCCAAAGCCAAACCUAAUUCAAUUGGUCAAUUUCAGCAAGAAAAAGAUUAUCUUUCAUCAAUUCAUGAUCUUAGAGUACCGUAUAAUGGUUUCGAAUUCGAUCAUUAUUCCGUGGAUACUAAUGAUUAUCUCAGUUUGGUGUUGGGUGAUGCUCAUAAUGGUCUGCAACCUCAAAGUAGUAAUUAUACGGAGGGUUUGAAAAUUGAUGGGCAUGAUGUUGUUGCUGCUAUGCCAAGUAUGGAUGCUGCUGACGAUGAUGUCAAGUUGCUGUUGAGUGAUUAUGAUUUUGAUAUGAUGCAAGAUGAUGUGCAAUUUUGUGUCAAUGACUUGAUCGACAUGUUGCUACAAGACCCACAACAGCAGCCUCAUUCUGAGUUUAAAUGUACAAUCCUAGAUCUUAAUGUCUAGUUAGGCUUGAUCUGUAAAUUUGUUGUUUCCCUGUACCUAAAUCCAAAAUCUGAUGUAUAUUCUGGAUUAUUUUUGGCAUUUAAUAGAAUAAAGUAUUUUGUGUUUUUAUUUGUACAGCUCAAAAGUGAAGAGCUUUUGGUGUAGAUUCUUUUAUUCAAUCUACUUUCUCACCUUAAAUGACAAUGAAGA
rnacentral:lncRNA from 1 species